AUUGAACGCUGGCGGCAGGCUUAACACAUGCAAGUCGAGCGGAGUGAUGGUGCUUGCACUAUCACUUAGCGGCGGACGGGUGAGUAAUGCUUAGGAAUCUGCCUAUUAGUGGGGGACAACAUCUCGAAAGGGAUGCUAAUACCGCAUACGUCCUACGGGAGAAAGCAGGGGAUCUUCGGACCUUGCGCUAAUAGAUGAGCCUAAGUCGGAUUAGCUAGUUGGUGGGGUAAAGGCCUACCAAGGCGAGUAUCUGUAGCGGGUCUGGGAGGAUGGUCCGCCACACUGGGACUGGAACACGGCCCAGACUCCUACGGGAGGCAGCAGUGGGGAAUAUUGGACAAUGGGGGGAACCCUGAUCCAGCCAUGCCGCGUGUGUGAAGAAGGCCUUAUGGUUGUAAAGCACUUUAAGCGAGGAGGAGGCUACUCUAGUUAAUACCUAGGGAUAGUGGACGUUACUCGCAGAAUAAGCACCGGCUAACUCUGUGCCAGCCGCCGCAGUAA
rnacentral:rRNA from 1 species